UUUGAUGUACCAACACACCUUUAACAAGUUGUACCAAAAGCUAUCUAAUUUGUACAGUAACUCUGGACCAACACAGCAACAAAUAAUUGUACAAUAAGCAACAUAAAGUGUACAAUCAAGUUGUUCUCCAUUUAACAUGUGUAAGUACACAAACUUUUCCCUCACACCACCUGUAUGAUCUGUAUGUACCCUCCCUCAAUAAAUAAAAUAGACAUGCAUCUCAAUUCCCGCCAACACCCCUUCAAAGAACAAACUUGAUCUCAUCGCUUUCAAGCUUUAGGUUUGAAAGGUAUAUGAGUUCUCUUUCUCCUAUUCUCUUCUAUAUCAGUUUCAAGUCUCUGUACUCAUUUAUUAUGUUUUUAAUUAAAUUUAUUUUUAAAUUCAAAGGUUUGCUCUGAAUUUUGUUUUUCCAGUUCCCAAGUUAUUGUUCUAUUCAUUUCUUUCACUUCCAGCCUAACAUUGACGAAUAUGGGAAUCAGAAUUUUGCAGGAUAGUCUUAUCAUCAACUGAUGUACGAGAAAAUAUUCAUUAGAUGGAGAAGUUCAUCAAGAUUUUUGCAGGCGUUGCUGAUCAUAGUUUCAAUUUCAAGAGCUUACAUCACAAAACUAUUACUUUAUAACAUUAAAGUAAUCAACUGUGUCCACCAAAGUACAGUAAAAUCAACCCAACAUUUCAGACUCAUGGUCUGAUUUGAUUGUAAUAUGUACAAAGAUCAGUUGAACUCCUGCAACCUUUGGUGGUAAGUGAAUGAUAUCAUAUAUCAAUAUUGUAAGCUAUGCAAGAAGGUGAUUUUUUUUAUCUUCUAAGCACCACAAUGCACUUCCUUGCUUGAACUCUUAAUGUUGUGCUUGGUGUUAGGUUGUGGAGCCUGAUUACUAUUUGAUAUACUGUCAUAUAUUAGGCUGUACUGUUUAUUCUCCAUUUAUUUUCUGUAACUGUUCAUACUCUGAAUUAUUAAUAUAUAUACCUCACCGCCGUGGAAGUUUACCCACGGGGUGUUACCACGAACUAUUGGUUUCUCACUUUUACUAUCUAGAUCUCUCAUCUCUCUCUCGAAAGUUCCUGUGUUCUUCAUUCAUCAAGUGUGUGUGUGUGGAUUCGAUCCUAACACUUGGUUUGUUAGAGAAGGAGCUCUUUGUUGAUGAGGUUUUUUAGGAAUCUUGCAUUGUUUACUAUACUCACUUAGUUCUCUAUCUGCAAGGUAUAUGUUAGUUCCUAGUUUGGGUUUUAAUUAAUUUGUCUGUUCUUUUGAGUUGUUUCUUGUGGAUUUUUGAUUAUCCUAUAUGCUUGCAAAUGAUUUUAUUGUGAUUUGUGCAAACAUCCUUGAAGAUUCAUAGGUGCAAUAGAGUUAUGUUAUAUCAUGUUGUUCUUAGAUGAUAUCAUUGAAGUGGUGUGACACUAAUUCUUGGAUGAUACUGAUUAAAGUGGCGUCGCAGUGGCGAAAGGAAUAAAAUUUAAUUUUGUAAUUUCUGACACUCACCUUCUUUUAAGCUUUCACCUUCCAACGCGCGAACUAUAAGAAUAGACACAUGUAGUUCCUUUUUUAUAGGUAUUCUUUCAAUGUCGACACAAAAAUUAACUUCAACGCUGCUCUUAUCUGAAGAUUUCAUUUCCCUCAGGCUCUUUUAGAGGUAAGUAUAUCUGUCCUUUCAACGUAUUUGCAUCUAUGAUCUGAAUGUUAAAUUUGACUCAGCAUAAACAAUUAUGAUAAUCAAAAUGGUGUUCUUAUCGUGAUAGAUUAUUAGUAGAAUGGUAAAGUUUUAGUAGCAAGGGUCAAUUCAUCAUUUGGUAAAUCCUUCUACUUAGAGGUGUAAUUUUUUAAUUUUAUUUCUACGAGCAUCUCUAGAAGAAGAAGCAGAGGAAGCGAUAAGAUGUUAAUGGAUUUUUUUCUCGAUUGUUGAAAUAUUGGAGUAAAAAGUAUUACUUUUUUGUAAGUUGUUGAUUAACUACUUACUGAUUUCUUAUUUGAUGAAUUUGUGUGAAUAAAUUGAUUUAUGUUAAGGGUAGGAGUUGCAAGUUUCUUUACUUUUUUUAUGCAGGAACUAGAUGAUGUUUUAUGGUAGAAUACCACUUGACCAUAAGGAGAGAGACAUUCAACUACUUGACACUAAUGCGAUGAAUCUAGCGAAAAAAGUAGUUCAAAAGAAGCCACAAGUUUAAAUAGAAAGAAUAGUCAAUGUCAAUUAGAGAAAACUUUAUUGAACUCUUCCUUUUGAAACUUACCAUCAUAUAUGAAUUAUGUUAGUACAAAUCUAUGUAUUUGUCAACCUUCUGAUGGAGGCAUAUAGUAUCACUCAUCUAAUUUGCUAAUAACUUUUGAAACUACCGAGAUUGUUCUUUGAAAAUGGAUUCUUGCAAGUUUUCUGUUAUCUUCUAUAAUAGUUUUGCUCAA